GACGACGACGACGACGACGACGACGACGACGACGACGACGACGACGACGACGACGACGACGACGACGACGACGACGACGACGACGACGACGACGACGACGACGACGACGACGACGACGACGACGACGACGACGACGACGACGACGACGACGACGACGACGACGACGACGACGACGACGACGACGACGACGACGACGACGACGACGACGACGACGACGACGACGACGACGACGACGACGACGACG
rnacentral:lncRNA from 1 species